ACGCACGCUGGCGGCAUGCCUAACACAUGCAAGUCGAACGAGACCUUCGGGUCUAGUGGCGCACGGGUGCGUAACGCGUGGGAACCUGCCCUUAGGUUCGGAAUAACUCCCCGAAAGGGGUGCUAAUACCGGAUAAUGUCUUCGGACCAAAGAUUUAUCGCCUUUGGAUGGGCCCGCGUUGGAUUAGCUAGUUGGUAGGGUAAAAGCCUACCAAGGCGACGAUCCAUAGCUGGUCUGAGAGGAUGAUCAGCCACACUGGGACUGAGACACGGCCCAGACUCGUACGGGAGGCAGCAGUGGGGAAUAUUGGACAAUGGGCGAAAGCCUGAUCCAGCAAUGCCGCGUGAGUGAUGAAGGCCUUAGGGUUGUAAAGCUCUUUUACCCGGGAUGAUAAUGACAGUACCGGGAGAAUAAGCUCCGGCUAACUCCGUG
rnacentral:rRNA from 1 species